ACAUGAAGGUGACUCUUAGGCUACCCUCAUAAAUAUAAAGUAAUCUUUGAUUUUCUAAAUGACCCUUAGUUUUUCUAAGUUGACUUUUUGAUUUAAGAGUUACAUGACUCUUUGAUUUUCAUAACAUAUUAAUGACUAGACUCUUGAACUUUCACUAACAUUAAUUACAAAUUAACUUUCAAUAAUUAUAACCACCCUUUGUCGUCUCAUCGAUGGUCGGGAUGGCACUCUCAAGCCAGCCGUCGAUGGUGGAGGACGGCCCAUGGCUUACCGAUGGUGGAUUUGGGGCUUCAAGCGGUGGCCAUGGGGUUUAGGUGGUAAUCGGGAAAGAAGAAA
rnacentral:lncRNA from 1 species